AUACGUAGGGUGCAAGCGUUAAUCGGAAUUACUGGGCGUAAAGCGUGCGCAGGCGGUUUUGUGAGACAGUGGUGAAAUCCCCGGGCUCAACCUGGGGACUGCCAUUUGGACUGCAAGGCUGGAGGGCGGCAGAGGGGGGUGGAAUUCCGCGGGUCGCAGUGAAAUGCGUAGAUAUGCGGAGGAACACCGAUGGCGAAGGCAAUCCCCUGGGCCUGCACUGACGCUCAUGCACGAAAGCGUGGGGAGCAAACAGGAUUAGAUACCCUGGUAGUCCACGCCCUAAACGAUGUCAACUGGUUGUUGGGGAUUUAUUUUCUCAGUAACGAAGCUAACGCGUGAAGUUGACCGCCUGGGGAGUACGGCCGCAAGGUUAAAACUCAAAUGAAUUGGCGGGG
rnacentral:rRNA from 1 species